ACGCUAACGCAUUAAAUGAUCCGCCUGAGUAGUAUGCUCGCAAGAGUGAAACUUAAAGGAAUUGACGGGGACCCGCACAAGCGGUGGAGCAUGUGGUUUAAUUUGAAGAUACGCGGAGAACCUUACCCACUCUUGACAUCCUUCGCAAUGCUAUAGAGAUAUAGCGGAGGUUAACGGAGUGACAGAUGGUGCAUGGUUGUCGUCAGCUCGUGUCGUGAGAUGUUUGGUCAAGUCCUGCAACGAGCGCAACCCCUAUCUUUAGUUACUAACGAGUCAUGUCGAGGACUCUAGAGAUAA
rnacentral:rRNA from 1 species